UACGUAGGGUGCAAGCGUUGUCCGGAAUUAUUGGGCGUAAAGAGCUCGUAGGCGGUCUGUCGCGUCUGCUGUGAAAACUCGAGGGCUUAACCCUGAGCUUGCAGUGGGUACGGGCAGACUAGAGUGGCGGUAGGGGAGACUGGAAUUCCUGGUAAUAGCGGUGAAAUGCGCAGAUAUCAGGGAGGGAACACCGGUGGGCCGAAGGCGGGUCUCUGGGCGUAACUGACGCUGGAGGAGCGAAAGCCAUGGGGAGCGAACAGG
rnacentral:rRNA from 1 species